GCGUGAAAUUAGCUGCGGUUAGUACAGUGUAUUUUCAUUUAGAAACCGCGAAAGACAUAUUAAAGGUUAGAUUCAGUUAAACUUGUUUAUUUUGAUAGAGAAAAGAAGGAUUUGUAGUUGGUUCAAGUGGCGAGGUGUGCUCCUAGGAUUAGAGUGUAUCUCUUCAAUUCGAGGCAAAAUUUGAAGCAGCAAAAGUAUAUAGGAGGAUUGGUUGCAGUACCGUAAAGUUAAAGUUACUGAGACAUAUAUCGUUCUGUAUAUGAGGGCCAAGUGGACAUAACUAACUUUUAAGGUUAUUUGGUGCAAUUAUAAUAUUUGAGUGUAGUUUCUGUUGUACAGUGGCAAAAAGGGUGGUUGGUGGUAGGUGGCUGCAGAUUCUGGCGAAAGAAGGGGGGCCCGACUAAACGUCAACGUGCUUGAGGAUAUGGGGGCAGUUUGCUGGUAGACCGUUCGCUGGAUAGAUGGGUGUGCGUUGUCCAUCUGGUGGCGUUUUGAAUUUGGCGGGCAGUCCGUGUACCCAUGAUGCGCCGCGGCCGCGAGUCGCGCAUCCAGUUUGCGCACAUCAAUGGCGUCCAGUUGUUAUUGUUGAAAGCGUAUAAACUAUUUGUGAAAAGAUUAUGUGCGUUUCCCGUGUGUUUUUAGCGCGUGGCGAGUGUGUUUAGGGACGGCGCGUGGAGUUUCGGACGAGUUGGGUCGUCCGUGCGAUCCGCGGCCGGCUGUUUGUGCGUUUAAAAGUGUGUCACAUAAAAUGGGAUGGCAGCAGAUAGUGCGGGUGUCGCCUUAACAGCGGUGGUAACCUGCGAGGGAGACUUGGAUGAUCCAGAGUUCGCUGGAGUAUUCGAGCGAACCUUAGCCAGUCUGCAAGGUAUCUUGGAGGAGGGUCCGAUUAAAGUGCACAAGCUGGAGCCUUGGAAUUCGGUGCGCGUGACGCUGUCCAUUCCGAGGGAGGCGGCGUUGCGGCUAAGACAGCUCGCAAAUGAUGGAUCGCAACAACUGCGCGCACUUGGCAUCCUCAGCGUGCAGGUGGAGGGCGACCAAGUCAUCUCCUUGCGGUUGGCCGCCACCUCAUCUACUGCCGAAUCGCAAGAGAUUGUUCUGAGAACGGGGCAACAAGAUGGCAGUGGAUCGAGUGGAAGUACUAGUCUGUCGCAGUUGUUGGUUGGUGGUGCCAGUAGCGGCGGAGAAAGUGUUGUGUCAUCCGGUACGGCGACGGCGAGUAGUAACUCAAGUAUUACUGCGUCUUCGGAAAAAGUGCAAUUUCGUUCACCAAAUGUGGUAUGUCCGUCGGAUAGUAUAGUACCAAAAGUGCCAGUGGGUAGUGCUAGUAAUGCGGUUACGCCACCGACGACGAAGACAUUCGCGGGACCAUUUCCAUUCACCAGCAUGAACCAAGCAAUGCAUAGCAAUGGAAACGGUGGUGUCGGUGCCAGUGCGCCGGUUGCUAAUUUCUCUACCCCGCCGCCACCUUAUCCCGGAAAACAUCCGCCGGUCACGUUGUCCAGUCCGCUGCUGGUGAAUCUUCUUCAAAAUGAAGGGGGUACUUCAUCAUCAACAUCAUCAUCAAUUAAUUCGACCGCUUCAACUUCUUCGAGUACGCGAUUGCAAUCCGAGUUGACAUCAACUAACAAAGUUAGGACGUUACCUUCGACUCAACAAGCGUCCAAUAACAAGAUUCUCUAUAAUGUCUUGCCUCAACGACAGCAGCAGCAGAUCACAAAUGUCACUUUGUCUACACAACAACAGCAGCAGCAACAGAAACUUGUUAUUCGAGAGCAACCCCCACCACAACCAUCACAGCAGCAACAACAGAAGUCUCAGCAGCAUCAGCAACAACAUCAUCAUCAUCAACAACAACAAGCACCAUCUACACAAGUUGUUGGACAUCAUAAUCAUAGCAUGUCGCAAGUUGCAUCUACAACAUCGUCACUAUCUACGCCGAUAGUGACCGUAAGAAAUCCCACUGUGCCUUACAAUAUAUUCAAUCCACAACCUCAAACUCAGUUGCCACCUCCUUCAUAUCCAAAUACGAUACGACAAUGGGGUGAUUCGCUUGGACAGCAUUAUCAACAGCAACAAAUGCAGCAACCGCCGCAGAUGCCACAACUGCAAGAAUUGAUGCCAUCUCUGACCGACCUGAAAGCCGAUCUAGACCAGCUGUUGCCGACGCUAGAAAGGGAUUUAGCUGGUAGUCCGCCGGAUUUACCGGAUCUGCUUAACGACAAAUCAUCUAAAACCGUUUACCUUAUUAAUCCAUUGACUGGUGAACUGGAACCGCAGUCUAAUAGUGAUAGUGAAGAGGAAGAGUUCAGGGAUGUUUUCACAGGUUUACCAUCACCAUCAACUCUAUCAGAUGAGGAUACCAAUUCCACGAUUAGACCGGACACCACGGAUCAAAGUGAUAGCGAGAGUAGAAGCUGCCACAGUGAUAGUAGUAAACAUUCGAAGAUAAAGGGGCGGAAUCGGGAUGCCAAAGGUCGCGACUCGCCCAGCGUUGCAGGGAAACCAACUGAGAAAAUCAAGUUACGUUUAAAGCUGGAAAAGUCUGAACCAGUUAGUCCCGCGUACAAAGUUGACGUUAGUUUUAUAAACACGCAGCAAUCGAAAAAGUCAACAAUCAGUGCAUCUAGUACCGGCGGCGGUGGUGGUGCCCUAGGUGGCGGCAUUGGCGAAGAACCGAGAGUCCCACCGCUACACAUCUCGUUACGCGGCCGGAAUCAUGCAGUGAUAAACAACAAGAAGAAAGUAAAAACUAGUGCGAGCGACAAGGUACGGAAAGUGCAACAAGUGAAAAAGGACCUGGGCGACGACGAAUGCGAUUACGAAUCGCGUAAAGUGAAAAAACCCAAACUGAGUGUAAACGAAAUUAAGAAAAUUGUAUGUCUGGGAGAUGCGAAGGACGUAAAUGCUUACGUGAAUCUACAUUUUAAGGAGAAGCUUAAGGAGCGACGUGGCAGUGAUUCCGAAUUAGCGAGGAACAAUAAAAAAUUUACAGACAGCAACGGUGUUCUAUCGGACGAGAAAAAGCGACGGCUGAGUCAGACAGCGGCAGAGGAUAGUUUCGAUUUGUCUCUGACGUCGACUACUUCUGCUGCGAGUGCUACUACUACUGUGUUGGGUUCCACGAACAUGGGUACGAUGUCGUCGAUUGCUACUAGCCAUAAGAUCAGAAAGGACAAGGCGAAGCUGAAAGAAAACUUUAAAAACAAGGAAUUGAACAGAUUUAAAAGUUACUCUAAGAAUAUAGCGGAUAUAAGUCCCAGGCGUAAUAAGCAGCAACAACAACUAGUUGCCUUACCUACAGGGGAAAUUGACAUGGAGGCUAAGUUUAAACAAAGGUUAAUGGAAGAUGGAGGAGACAGCAGGACGGUCACAACGACGGUCCAGCAACUAAUUCACAUACCUAAUAAUGCACUGGAAGUGACUGAUCCAAAAGUGGAGGACUUAAUUCAAACAUUGACAAAUCCCCCACCGAUCAAAGACAAACCCCCCGAGCCUGACAAGUGUAACACGCCUGACCGAAAGAACGAUGAUAAACCACCGAACCAUCGAUCACCGAAUUCCGGUGCACAGGGAGAAGAUAGUGGUAUAGAAAGUAUGGAUGCUUUGAGCGAGAAGAGCCCCAACCAGGCUAGCCAGAGCCCGCACGAGGAGAUCCCAGAUCCCACGCUACCAUCUAAAACCAAAACUCAUCAUCAAGUGCCUGAUAUACUCGAUAUUGAAGCCCAGUUAGCCAAAAUGGAGGGACUUCACAGUGAAGAUGACCUCAACGAAAACAGUAGUACUAGGACCGCUAACAAUACGACGACCACCACCACCAAAUCAAAUUUGGAACAUUGUUGUGUUUUAACAUCCGCCCUUCAAGACAGCCUGUGCAAGGGUACCGUUUCGUUGACGCCUCAGCCGACGACGAAGACGACGUCAUCUUUGUCAUCAAACAAUUCCAACGCCGCCGCCGCUGCUGCUGGUGCAGUUAAGGAGCAGCAGCAGUCGAUGGUGAUGCAGAAACAACCCGACGUGAGCAUUCUACCAACUACAAAUAAGAGCAAAUCUUUGGAAAACCACGAUUUAGAACCACUUCCUAUAAGAGUGACACCUCCACUCUAUACAUACUCGAAUCCGGAGAAAAGGGGCACAGACAGUCCGACCCUCAUGUCCGACAAUGAAUUGAACUCGAUCAAUCAAUGCAAUCCGAUCCUCCCGAAGAGUCUGUUGGAGCAGUUGCUUAUAGAAAUACCGACGGAAAACCAGAUGCCAGCAAAUUCUCCGAGUCCUGCGACACGAUCGGUGCGAACGCGUGCGUCGUCCAAGUUGAAUAGCCCGGAGCAACUGUUGAAUUCUCCAAAACCUGCGAAGAGCACGCCCACGGCGAAACGAAAACGGCUCGAAUCGGACAGCUCUGGUAAUAAUGGUGGCAUCGAUGUGGUGGAUCAACGUAGUAACAAGAAACCGCGAAAAUGUUCGGAAAACACCACUGAAUUGAUUAAAGCAUGUUUAGAUUCAAGCACCGCAACCACCGUCACCAACAAAGUUGUAAAUAAUUCCAGCGGUGCAGCGAUGACGACGACGAUGAUGACGACAGUAACGACUAAUACGCCGGUAACGACUAGCGCUGCAGCUCUGAACAUCGUCAAUCCAAAAAAAGUGCUGGAAGAGAGUUCGGAUAGCGAUGAGCCUCUCAUAGAAGUUGUCGGGAAGGUGCGGAGCAAGAGUAACAACAAUUCCACCAAUGGCGCUAACGCUACCGCCAAAGUGAAGUUAAAAGGAUCGGUAAAUGCGCCUCCUUUUUCCCCAAGUGUUAUGAGUGGUACGAGACGGUCGAUCCGAGCAGUACCGGUGGCAGCAGUCAAUACGAGGAGCAAAGGGGACAAGAGUAGUAGUAACCCCGACAACGAUAUCAUCCGUAGAAAAACUCGAAGUACAGAAACAUCCAAGCAAUUGUGUGAUGGCACAAGCAUUCUAAAACUUACUUGAGAAGCAAGCAAGCAUGAGAGGCAAAUCGACCGCGUGCGUAGUAAAUCGAAUUCGCUAUCUGAGGGAGAAGGGAAACGGAAAAAGGACAUUAAGUGACAAUGCCAGGAGGAGGACUGCUGCCAAUGCGGCGUCGGCAGCAGUCUGUGUCGCCGUCGUCAUCAUCAUCAUCGUAGGUGUCGUGCAUCGUCACCACAGCCGCCUCCGGCUUUUCCAACUCCGACCUCCUCUACUACAGCUGCUGCGGCGGCGGCGGCAUUGACUACCGCUGAACUCUUCCGUUCGCUGUACUGCGGACCGCCGGUCGGGCAGCAACAACGGCUGCCCCAAACAGCACCUCCUACGCCCACAAGCGAGGUGGCGAACGCAGGCUUUGCGGAUUAAGUACAAAAAAAUAUUUAAAAGAGAAAUUUAAAUACCCGCUGACACUGUAUAGAAUGUGAUAUAUACUGUACAUAGUUAGGUAAUUGUAUAUAUAUAUAUAUAAUAUUAUUAUACAAGAAGAAAAAAAAACACAUUGGAAGAAAACGAGA